rnacentral:rRNA from 1 species
GAUGAACGCUGGCGGCGUGCCUAAUACAUGCAAGUCGAGCGAACAGACGAGGAGCUUGCUCCUCUGACGUUAGCGGCGGACGGGUGAGUAACACGUGGAUAACCUACCUAUAAGACUGGGAUAACUUCGGGAAACCGGAGCUAAUACCGGAUAAUAUAUUGAACCGCAUGGUUCAAUAGUGAAAGACGGUUUUGCUGUCACUUAUAGAUGGAUCCGCGCCGCAUUAGCUAGUUGGUAAGGUAACGGCUUACCAAGGCAACGAUGCGUAGCCGACCUGAGAGGGUGUUCCGCCCCACUGGAACUGAGACACGGUCCAGACUCCUACGGGGGGCAGCAGUAGGGAAUCUUCCGCAAUGGGCGAAAGCCUGACGGAGCAACGCCGCGUGAGUGAUGAAGGUCUUCGGAUCGUAAAACUCUGUUAUUAGGGAAGAACAAAUGUGUAAGUAACUAUGCACGUCUUGACGGUACCUAAUCAGAAAGCCACGGCUAACUACGUG